rnacentral:rRNA from 1 species
UAGAUGCGAGAGUAGAGCAUAUCAAUAAGCGGAGGAAAAGAAACUAACAAGGAUUCCCUUAGUAACGGCGAGUGAAGCGGGAAGAGCUCAAAUUUGAAAUCUUCAAGGUUCUACCUUGACGAAUUGUAGUUUAAAGAAGUGUUUUCUGUUAGAUGAGUAGCAAAAGUUCCUUGGAAUGGGACAUCAUAGAGGGUGAGAAUCCCGUAUUUGGUUAUUCAUUCUAGCUUUGUGAUACACUUUCAGAGAGUCGGAUUGUUUGGGAAUGCAGUCCAAAAUGGGUGGUAAAUUUCAUCUAAAGCUAAAUAUUGGCGAGAGACCGAUAGCGAACAAGUACCGUGAGGGAAAGAUGAAAAGAACUUUGAAAAGAGAGUUAAACAGUACGUGAAAUUGUCAAAAGGGAAGCGUUUGACACCAGUGUUGUUUUUCCGAAAAUCAAUUACGAAUGGCUUGAUUUUGUGUUGUAUUGACCUUAUCAGCUUUCUGCACUUUUUUCGAGUCUUUCUUAAUGCACUUUUCGGUUAACAAGUCAACAUCAAUUUCUUUUGUUGUAAAAGAGUAUUCGGAAGGUGGCUUUCUUUUCGGAGAAAGUGUUUAUAGCCCUAUACUUCUACAAUCGGAGAGAUUGAGGUCUGCAGCGUAGAUCCUUCGGGGUUAGAUACAUUUGUGCUAAGUUGUAGCUUUUCAUAGACAACUUGUUGACUAUGUUUAGUCAUGCGGCUUACUCGCUUGUGCUAUUUUACCUACGCUUAGGAUGUUGAGCGCAUGUCUCUCUCU